rnacentral:rRNA from 1 species
AGUAAAUAGAUACCCAGGUAGUCCAUGCCGUAAACGAUGAUUGCUAGGUAUGGGGGUCUGACCCUUCCGUGCCGGAGUUAAACACAAAUAAGCAAUCCACCUGGGGAGUACGGCCGCAAGGUUGAAACUCAAAGGAAUUGACGGGGGCCCGCACAAGCAGUGGAGUAUGUGGUUUAAUUCGAAGCAACGCGAAGAACCUUACCAGGUCUUGACAUCCACCGAAUCCUGUAGAGAUACGGGAGUGCCCUUCGGGGAACGGUGAGACAGGUGGUGCGUGGUUGUCGUCAGCUCGUGUCGUGAGAUGUUGGGUUAAGUCCCGCAACGAGCGCAACCCUUGUGAAUAGUUGCUACGAAAGAGCACUCUAUUCAGACCGCCGUUGACAAAACGGAAGAAGGUGGGGAUGACGUCAAAUCAUCAUGCCCCUUAUGACCUGGGCUACACACGUACUACAAUGGCCGUUAACAGAGGGAUGCAAUGCCGCGAGGUGGAGCGAACCCCUAAAAACGGUCUCAGUUCAGAUUGCAGGCUGAAACUCGCCUGCAU